rnacentral:rRNA from 1 species
CAUGCAAGUCGAGGGGAAACGACAUCGAAAGCUUGCUUUUGAUGGGCGUCGACCGGCGCACGGGUGAGUAACGCGUAUCCAACCUGCCCACCACUUGGGGAUAACCUUGCGAAAGUAAGACUAAUACCCAAUGACGUCUCUAGAAGACAUCUGAAGGAGAUUAAAGAUUUAUCGGUGAUGGAUGGGGAUGCGUCUGAUUAGCUUGUUGGCGGGGUAACGGCCCACCAAGGCGACGAUCAGUAGGGGUUCUGAGAGGAAGGUCCCCCACAUUGGAACUGAGACACGGUCCAAACUCCUACGGGAGGCAGCAGUGAGGAAUAUUGGUCAAUGGACGAGAGUCUGAACCAGCCAAGUAGCGUGCAGGAAGACGGCCCUAUGGGUUGUAAACUGCUUUUAUAAGGGAAUAAAGUGAGAGUCGUGACUCUUUUUGCAUGUACCUUAUGAAUAAGGACCGGCUAAUUCCGUGCCAGCAGCCGCGGUAAUACGGAAGGUCCGGGCGUUAUCCGGAUUUAUUGGGUUUAAAGGGAGCGUAGGCCGGAGAUUAAGCGUGUUGUGAAAUGUAGAUGCUCAACAUCUGAACUGCAGCGCGAACUGGUUUCCUUGAGUACGCACAAAGUGGGCGGAAUUCGUGGUGUAGCGGUGAAAUGCUUAGAUAUCACGAAGAACUCCGAUUGCGAAGGCAGCUCACUGGAGCGCAACUGACGCUGAAGCUCGAAAGUACGGGUAUCGAACAGGAUUAGAUACCCUGGUAGUCCGCACGGUAAACGAUGGAUGCCCGCUGUUGGUCUGAAUAGGUCAGCGGCCAAGCGAAAGCAUUAAGCAUCCCACCUGGGGAGUACGCCGGCAACGGUGAAACUCAAAGGAAUUGACGGGGCC